UAGGUGAAAGAAUGAGCCAUAAGUACAUAAUUUGUUCAAAAUGAUAGAGCAAGUAAGUGGCAAAGUUUGGAAUCUGAAGCUAUGACUGACUCCAGAUAGCGUCAGUUGUAUGAGACCAAACAAAUGUAAUAUGCCAAAAAAUUUAGAAAGUAAUUUAAGAAUGCAUGAAAAAUCAAUAACUAAACUUUUUUUUAAAUCAGUUCUAUUAUUAUGGUAAGAAAAAUGUCAAAUAUUCUGUUCCAUUUAGCAAUUUAAAAUUUUGGUAUGGUCAUCCAUAUGUUUGGUAAAAGCAGAGGGUAGUAUUUAUUAAACAUAAACAACUAUAAAUAUGUUUAUGUGAGCCUCAUGAUGAUCACAAAGCAAAAAUCUGUAGAAGAUACACAAAAGAUGAGAAAAGAAUGACUGUAUACCAUUACCUAAAAUCAUCAACUCCCAAACGAAGGAAAAGAGAGGAACAAAGAAACUACCAAACAAUCAGAAAAUGAACAAUGAGUAAAAUGGCAAGAGUAAGUCCAUUCCAGGCAAUAAUUAUGGUAAAUGCAAAAGGACUAAAUGCUCCAAUCGAAAGACACAGUGUGGUUGAGUGGGAAAAACAAAUGAACAUACAAACAAAAAACAAGAGUUGGGGGCUGCUGAAAAGAGACUCACUUUAGCUUCAGGACACUCAGAUUGAAAGUGCAGGUAAGGAAAGAGAUAUUUCAUCCAAGUGGAAAGCAAAAGAAAGAGAGGCAGCUAUACUGGCUUCAGUCAAAACAGACCUUAAGCCAAAGACUAUGCACAUUUUAAAGCCAUAUAUAUACUUAUCCUUCUAUUCGUUAUAUUUCUUCAGCUGAAAGUUUCCCUCCCACUCUCCCACACCCAGUUUUUGAAUCUGAUUACCCCUCAGUGGAUUAGAACUCUGCAUUUUUUUCACGAUUUUGGAUUAUACAUUAACCUUUCCAGUUAGCUGAGGCUCCUUGCCAAACAUCCACGAAAUCUGGAUGAACUAGUUAUUCACAUGUGAGAAAAUAAAAAUGUUCACAUACUAAAAAUGACAUUUAUUAACCAUUUAUAUGGUUCAAAUUAUUUUAUAACAACCAUUUUUAUGUAAACUUAGAAACAGACUACAAGCAUGCCUUGUAUUUUAGAAAUAUAUUACAUUUCAUAGCCCAAAAUUAAUUAAUUAAUUAAUUUAUUUAUUUUGCUUUUUAGGUCUGCACUGGUAGCAUAUGGAAGUUCCCAGGCUAGGGGUUGAAUCGGACCUACAGCUGCUGGCCUACGCCACAGCCACAGCAAUGUGGGAUCCAAACCACAUCUCUGACCUACACCACAGCUCAUGGUAAUGCCAGAUCCUCAACCCACUGAGUGAGGCCAGGAAUCAAACCCGCAUCAUCAUCGAUCUCAGGUUCAUUAACAGCUGAACUACGACGGGAACUCCCAAAAAUUUAUAUUUGGGAAUAUCUGUCACCUUGUUUAAGAAACUCUUAAGUUUUGGAGUUUCUGUCAUGGCUCAGUGGUUCACGAACCCGACUAGGAACCAUGAGGUUGCGGAUUCAAUCCCUGGCCUCGCUCGGUGGGUAAAGGAUCCGGCAUUGCUAUGAGCUGUGGUGUAGGCCAGUGGCUGCAGCUCCAAUUGGACCCCUAGCCUGGGAACCUCCAUAUGCCAUGGGUGUAGCCCUAGAAAAGACAAAAAAAGACAAAAGAAGGAAAGAAAGAAACUCUAAGUUUUAUUGUUUUUAAGAUCUCAAUACCUUAUGUUGAUAAAAUACUUAUGUAAUAUUACAAAAUUAUCUACAAUGAAAUAAUUGGUAGGUGAAACUGGGAAAUAUUUCCAUCCCUAAAGUUUAUGUCAUUUCCUAUAGAGAGAGCAAGCCUGAAUAUUAAAUUCUUCCAAAACCUGAUAAGAUUUUUCUAGAAUGGAAAAAAAAAAAGUGUUCUGUAAGCACUUGGUAAAUCCCUUCGGUGGUGUUCAGCAUUACUCUCUCAAGACACCCAAUUUUAUGAUUCCUAGAGCUGGUGAACAUCCAGAGUGAGGCUUGGCUCUGGAGGUGGACAGCUGUUCAUAUGUCCAUCACCGGUCCCUUGUGUUCACCACCACAGUGUAGGCAACAAACACAUUGCUCCGAUCAGUGUUUAUUUGUGGUGUCAUCAUGGCAGUGCUAAUUCUCACCCUCAGCAGUUGAAAGAGAGAGAGAGGGAGAGAAAGAGAAAAUUUGGUCAUGGGGGCGGGGCACGGGAGGAGGAGGGAAAGAAUAGAACGGGGCUCGUGUAUUUGGCAACACUUACUGACUCUUCGCUACUUGAAUUUUGAAAAUGUUCUUUCAUCCAAAUGCCAAAAGACGUUCCUAGCCAACUCUGGUCCAACUUCGAAUUGGAGACAUGCUUACAAAAACAAGGGAAGUACUUGGAUUUGAAAAACUCCCUCUGAAUAACUCAUUAAUACCUGGUUAUGAAAUCCAGGUAUUAACCUGUACAUGUACUUCUAAGGGCACGCACAGUUAAACUUACAUAUGUUGGUAUCCUUGCCCUGGUUCUUCUAGAUUUAAUCCCCCCCCCCUUUUUUUUUUAGGAGAGACAACAGGAUGAAGAGGAAUUAUCACCGUCAUAGAUGCACAUUAAAAAUUUACGAUCUAUAUCCCUGGAUUCCAGUGUCGAUACUGACUCUGUAGCUUCAUUUCUAACCAUCCUUUUCCUCAGUCCUCUAAUCAGACAUGGUUGUGUAAGCCCACAUUUGGUUAUUGCUGUUGAAAGGGUAGCCUUGGAGGAUGGAAAGUGAAGGAGAAUUGUGAGAUUUGAGGAAGUUUCUGCAACGUGUCAGGUGGCUCUUUCAGUAGAGUUCUUCAUGGCUCUUUACGUCCACUGGCUUGAGAGCAUCCUUACUGGGCCCUCAUCUAGAAUUCAAGAUGCUGGUCAAUGGGGUUUCUGUGAUGUAAUUGACCAUUGUCCUUCUUUAGGCUCAAGAAUUUUUCAGAGGUACAUUUUAUACACUAAGGGAGCAGAAUCACAACCAAUGCGUCACCUUUUAACUGUGUGGAUUGAUUGACUGGAUAUUGGUUUCAUUCAUUUUUCAAUAAGCAGUUAGACUCUCUGCAAAUUCAAAGCUAAGUAAGGAAUGGCACAGAAAGGUAGAUACUAGAAUUUAUGAAUAUAAGUGACACUCUACUUGCUAAACUGAAAGUGUGUAUAGGAAAAUGGGACCAAUGGAGGGACAAAUGAGGAGAUAGUUCUCUGAUGGGGGAUGAGGGAAGCUCAGAAUAAAAAAAAAUCUGAAUUAUUCUGUAGAGGUUCUGAUGUUUGCUGCCUGGCUAUUGGGUGGGGCAAGAUUCUCAAGAGAGGGCAGUGCUUGUGCAAAGGUUGUAGGUGCAUGAUGUGCUUGGAGAACUUCCGACAUGCUGGUGUGUCUUUUAUCCAGAGGACGUACAUAAUUGAGAGUGGCUAGACAUGAAGUUCAAGAGACAGUCAGAAACCAGAAGAUGAAGGGACCUAUUUGUUAUCCUACCUUGUUUGAGCUUUGUCUUAAACAGAUGAACAACUAUGAAAGACAUCAGAGGAGGAGGAUGGCAUGCUCAGCUUUGAGUUUGGAGAAGGAUGGACGGUCCUAGGAACACACCCUUUCUCUUUACCAUUCCUGAAGGAAGAAGAAUAGUGUUCACAGGUUGUGUUGGCUGCAAAGCCACUGAUGAACUGGCUUAUUUUAGGUUUCUGAUAUUACACAUGAGAAAACAGACUUAGAAGCUCACAAGUGUGAGUAGCAUAAGCAGAGUAGGCAUCUCAGAUCCCAAGGUCUGUGCACCUUACUCAACUGUUGUGCUUGCCUAGCGUGAGCUUGUCAUUCUUGGAAUCCUCGUACAACUUUGAACUCUCUCAUGGUGUUUAUUUCAUUCUACUUGGAGUUAUUCGAAAUUCUUCUUCUUCUUAGCUGCAUAUUUUGGGGGAAGGGGCUAUGCCUCACUCAUGUUUUCUAAUCAUUUCUGUAUUCGGCACAUUUCCUUUUAGUAAUAGGCGCUCGACCUAUACCUAUUGAAUUCAUAAAUAAACAAAAAAUUGUAAAUAAAUAUAAAUGCCAUCACCCAUUAGCUGAGCAACUCAGCCCUCUACUACUUGGUAAUUAGUAAACAUCUUAAUGUGUAGAAAGGUAUACAUUUUAAAACCCUAUAUUGGCUAAAGGAGCCCUAAAUAAAGCCUCCCCUAUUCUGAGGCCACUGAUGUGCCACGUGGUAUGGGCACCUCGGGGGUCAAAAUAUCAGGAUGUUAAAUAAUAAAUACUCUAUUUAAAUGCAUUUAAUUCUUUAUCAGUUGCUGAAGUUCUAGAUAAUGGAACAAUUUUCUUUGGUCAAAUUUAUCACCGAGGUAAUUGCUGUCAGGUGUCUUGAGGAGAUAAUGUGCAUUAGCAUCACAGUUGAUUAUCCACCUUCCAGAAAGACAAAUCUUAGCAGAAACUUCAUGAUACAUUUAGUGCAAGAAAAUGCAGCAUUUAUAAAGGGUCUUGUAGAAGCCUCAGAAAAAAUCUUACCCUCGAAUCUGUUUUGAAGUAUUGUAUUUACUUUUGAUGGCAAGGACUCACAAGAGAUGUAGUUAUUCCUUCAGCCCAUGCUUGUCAAGGGCCUCUUCUGUGCUACACUCUGUGCUAAGUGAACAGACAGGUACUUGUCUCUUGCUUUCAUGGAGCUUGCUGUACAGAGCACGUUCACCGUCUAGUAUGUGGGAAGGGCCUUGGAUAAGAUGCUAAGAGAAUUAAAAACUUAAAUACAAUAAGCAAUCAAAGGUAUCAUGGCCCUAGAGGAAAGCUCCCUUGGUUGUUAACAAGAAGUGAUAUCAAAGAGUAGUCAGCCCCUUCAUUGUCUAUCUGUUCAAAAUGUAAUCAUUUUCGCCUAUGAACCCCAAACUCCCAGUCCCUCCCUCUCCCCCUCUCUCCGUUGGCAACCUUAAGACUGUUCUCCAUGCCUGUGAGUCUGUGAUGGACAAGGAAGCCCGGGGAACUAUAAACCAUAGCAGAAAGGAAUAUAAAAAGGCAUGUCAUGUAUGUGUACCUAAGUCCCCUUGCUGUACAGCAGAAAUUAGCCCAACGAUGUAAAUCAACAAUACUUUAAUUAAAAAAAAAAAAAAAAAAAAAAAAAAAAAAG
rnacentral:lncRNA from 1 species